CGACCGGCGCACGGGUGAGUAACACGUAUGCAACCUGCCCGUCUCAGGGGGAUAAUCGUCGGAAACGGCGUCUAAUACCCCGUAUGAAGCUGGACGGCAUCGUCUGGUUUUGAAAGAAUAUCGGAGACGGAUGGGCAUGCGGCGCAUUAGCUAGUUGGCGGGGUAACGGCCCACCAAGGCGACGAUGCGUAGGGGUUCUGAGAGGAAGGUCCCCCACACUGGUACUGAGACACGGACCAGACUCCUACGGAAGGCAGCAG
rnacentral:rRNA from 1 species